rnacentral:rRNA from 1 species
UCUUCCCGUAGGUGAACCUGCGGAAGGAUCAUUACCGAGUGCGGGCCCUCGCGGCCCAACCUCCCACCCUUGUCUCUAUACACCUGUUGCUUUGGCGGGCCCACCGGGGCCACCUGGUCGCCGGGGGACGCACGUCUCCGGGCCCGCGCCCGCCGAAGCGCUCUGUGAACCCUGAUGAAGAUGGGCUGUCUGAGUACUGUGAAAAUUGUCAAAACUUUCAACAAUGGAUCUCUUGGUUCCGGCAUCGAUGAAGAACGCAGCGAAAUGCGAUAAGUAAUGUGAAUUGCAGAAUUCCGUGAAUCAUCGAAUCUUUGAACGCACAUUGCGCCCCCUGGCAUUCCGGGGGGCAUGCCUGUCCGAGCGUCAUUUCUGCCCUCAAGCACGGCUUGUGUGUUGGGUGUGGUCCCCCCGGGGACCUGCCCGAAAGGCAGCGGCGACGUCCGUCUGGUCCUCGAGCGUAUGGGGCUCUGUCACUCGCUCGGGAAGGACCUGCGGGGGUUGGUCACCACCAUGUUUUACCACGGUUGACCUCGG